UGCAAAGCAAUUCCUAGUCUCCUGGCCGA
rnacentral:piRNA from 1 species